AUCACUUCUCAGCUUUUUGGCUAAGACCAAGUGUAGUAUCUGUUCCCAUCAGUUUAAUAUCUGACAUGUCCUUUAUCCUAGGACAUUAUAUUAAAUGGAUUUUUGGAGCUGGGAGGUGGAAUAGGAGUUUUCUCCUUCCACUCCACCCAUCGACCUGGUAUUGCAGUACUUCUGGAAAUGGUACCCACCCC